GAGCAGGUUUACCAGGGAGGGGCAGGUAUGCUCGGGUACAGGCAAGGUCAGCAGGAGAGGAAUGGUGCCUCGUGUCCACCAGAGUAAGCAGGCUUGGGGCCUUGCCCAUGCAACAGGGCCACAGAGGGACAGAGAUGGGGUCACUAGGCCUGUGGUACAGGUGCGUCAAGAGUUAGUGCCGCUUCACUGUUUAACUCAAUGGCUGGCAUCCUUCCCCAUCAGAAAGAAGCUGGUCACAAGCAAAGAAUUAAUAUUGACGUUUCUUUCCUCAGUCGUAACCAAAGUCACUACAAGUCAUAUUUAA